GUAGGUGAACCUGCGGAAGGAUCAUUCUUGAUAAUGUAGCUUUGCUAUAUUACUUAUGUGAACUGUUAUUGCCAUUUGGCGAUCGAAAGGUCGUCGGUGGCCCUAUUUAAUAUUUACCCUUAAUGUAUUUAAUGUACCAGUAAUCAUAAUUUUUAUGACAACUUUUAGCAAUGGAUCUCUAGGCUCUC
rnacentral:misc_RNA from 1 species